UACGAGAGGCCCAAACGUUAUUCGGAAUUACUGGGCUUAAAGAGUUCGUAGGCGGCGCAGAAAGUAGGGUGUGAAAGCCCUCGGCUCAACCGAGGAAUUGCGCUCUAAACUACUGUGCUUGAGGAAGCUAGAGGUGAGCAGAACUGAUGGUGGAGCGGUGAAAUGCGUUGAUAUCAUCAGGAAUACCGGAGGCGAAGGCGGCUCACUGGGGGCUUUUCUGACGCUGAGGAACGAAAGCCAGGGUAGCGAACGGG
rnacentral:rRNA from 1 species